UGUCGUCUUCAACUUGAAUCUCCUCUCGGAGACAGCCAAACCAAAUUUUCAGCCCGCAAUUCCCUUUGUACUCCGUCCUACGGAGCUUAAAAUAUUUUCGUUAUUGUGAAAUCAUUAAAGUUAAGCAAAAUAUUUUCAUAAGAAGCAAUUUUUCCGCUUUCAUUGAUUUUAAACCUAUACAACUGAGCUUAAACACCGACUGCCUAAGUCCCCAGGCAAACUGUCUGAAUGCCUAAUUUGUACGUUGUCAAACAAAGUCUGUUAAUACACUUCCAAUUGUUUGAUUUUUUGCACUUUUGUUUACACUUCUAAAUAAUUCAAAGAAAAUCUACACAUUUAAAAAUAUUUUCGCACAUUUGAAUGGUCAGCAGCUAUUCAUUUUUCUUGUUCAUAUGUUUCUGACAUUUUUUUAAUACUCCUCUUUUCUAUACACUUAUUAGUUAGUACUAAAUUUUAAAAAUAUUUUAUUUUAAUUUUCCUUAUUUCUAACCCUAAGCCUACUACAUGACGUCUCUUUUACUUAAAAUAGACGUCCCUCUAUUUGCUUUUUGUGUCAAAAAUAUGUAACAUUUGAUACAGUUUUAAAAAUACCUGGGGCUCUGCUUCACUAAUCUGCCAAAAAAUUGCACAUGUUUAAAAGAAAAUAUCAAAAUACAAAAUUUUGAAAAAAAAUGACAAAUAAUGCAUUUUAUAGAAGCCUUAAAAAGCCUCAAAUUCAAGAAAAAUAGAAAAUGUGCAAAGAUCAGUUUAUAAUUUAAGCACUUGCAAGUUAGAAAAGUUAAAAAAACUCUGACAGCCUCAGAUCAAAGGUUUUUGAGUUAUGUCCAAAAAAAAUUUUGGGGGUUGGGGGGAGGCACCAGUUGGAAUAGGGUUAAAGAUUAGAUCUAAAACAUUUCCCAUGGAAUCUAAAAUUCGUAUAAUUCAAUCUAAUUCAAUCUAAUUCAAUCUAGAAAUCUUAAAUAAUAUUUUCUGCAGGCAGUUGACAACACUUUAUCCAACAUUUUCAAUCAAAUUGACUCUGCCUUAGAUAAGAAAAAACUUGACAAAACUGUUGUUGAAAUUAAACCUGCAAUAGAAGACUUACCAAACCUUAAGACAGCUGAAACUUUCACAGAUCAAAUCUCAAAUGUGAAGAAUGAAAAGGAAAACCAACACUGGUCUAAAAUAAAGUCUGCCAGG